AGUGAACGCUGGCGGUAGGCCUAACACAUGCAAGUCGAACGGCAGCACAGUAAGAGCUUGCUCUUACGGGUGGCGAGUGGCGGACGGGUGAGGAAUACAUCGGCAUCUACUUUUUCGGGGGGGAUAACGUAGGGAAACUUACGCUAAUACCGCAUACGACCUACGGGUGAAAGCAGGGGAUCUUCGGACCUUUCGCGAUUGAAUGAGCCGAUGUCGGAUUAGCUAGUUGGCGGGGUAAAGGCCCACCAAGGCGACGAUCCGUAGCUGGUCUGAGAGGAUGAUCAGCCACACUGGAACUGAGACACGGUCCAGACUCCUACGGGAGGCAGCAGUGGGGAAUAUUGGACAAUGGGCGCAAGCCUGAUCCAGCCACACCGCGUGGGUGAAGAAGGCCUUCGGGUUGUAAAGCCCUUUUGUUGGGAAAGAAAAGCAGCAGGUUAAUCCCCCGCUGUUCUGACGGUACCCAAAGAGUAAGCACCGGCUAACUUCGUG
rnacentral:rRNA from 1 species